GAACUACUCCCUCCGUUCGGAAUUACUUGUCGCGAAAAUGGAUGUAUCUAGAACUAAAAUACGUCUAGAUACAUCCAUUUCUGCGACGAGUAAUUCCGAACGGAGGGAGUACCUG
rnacentral:pre_miRNA from 1 species